rnacentral:tRNA from 1 species
GGAGAGAUGGCAGAGUGGUCGAAUGCACCGGUCUUGAAAACCGGCGUACUGUCAUGGUACCGGGGGUUCGAAUCCCUCUCUCUCCG